UUUCAUCCAGUUAUUUCAUCCAGU
rnacentral:siRNA from 1 species